GCCCGACCUCACCCCCCGACCCCACCUCCCGAGAGCGGGACCGAUACCGUCCUACCCGACAAUCCUCUCCCGGCGCCCCCAUCCGCUGCCCCUACUCGCGACCCACUCUUGGGGACCCCCCUACUACAACCCCCCUUUGGGCCUCUCCUCACUCUGAUCCCUCCCUUUGGGGUCUUCUUUUGAGGGCUGGUCUCCUCCUUUCCUCUGUCCCCCUUUAUUGCCCCCCGGGGCAGGUACUGGCCCUCCUCGUGGUGUCUGGGGAAUUGCGUGCGAUACUGGAAAUGGAGCGCCGGGAUUUGGGGCACACUGGGAAUGAAGGGCACUGGGAGAGAAUGGGGACACUGGGGACAAGUGGGACACCAAAUACUGGUCGGGGGGACAGGUUGGGGGGAUACACCAGAGAUAGGAGUAGAUACACUGGGGACAGCGGGGACAAUGGGAAUAGGUUUGGGGACCCUGGGAAUUGGUGGGGGUCACACUGGGAAUGGGUUGUGGGGACACUGGAAAUUGGAGAACAUAUGGGGUCACCACUCUUCCCUCUUACCAUGGAUCUGGGGACACAGUCCUGACUCUGCCCCCUGUCCCCAGAACCCUCCGGGCCCCUUCCUGAGUCCUGGACUUUGCUCCUUGCCCCUUGGCGAUAAGGCCAGAGGAAAAUUCCAUCCUGGGGAGGGGAGAGAGAGGAGCUGGGAGAGUCUAAUCCCGGGAGAGCUUGAUCCAGGUGAUCCUGAUCCCAGGAAAAGCUUCUCCUGGGAGCACCUAAUUCUGAGACCACCUGAUCCCAGGAUCACCUCAUCCCAGGAGAACCUGGUCUUGGCAGCACCUGAUCCUGGAAAAUUCCAGCUGGCAGAGAAUUCUGGAAUCACCUUAUUCCAGGAGAAUUUGAUCCUGAGAGAACCUUAUCCAAAGAGCACAUCCUUCCAGGGAGAAGCUCAUCCAGGGAGAUCCCAGGAGAUCCUUAUUCCACAAUCACCCCAUUCUGGGACCACUUUAUCCAAGGAGAACCUUGCCCCAGGAUCACUUUAUCCCAGGAUUAUCUCCUUCUAGGAGAAGCUCAUCCUGGGACCCCCCCAUCCCAAUACCUUCUGCUAAUCUCAGGGCCAGGGUCCCUCCUGGUGCAUUUCAGGGUGUCCCUGUGUUCUCCUGCCAUGGCUGAGCCCUCUGGGAUUGGGGACAGCAUCCCAUUGGAUGAUCCUGGUCUGGACAUUGCCGCUGGGGAGGAAUUCCUGCAGGAAGUGUUCCAGAUCCUGUUGGAGGAGGGCGUGCGGAAAAGCAUGGACGUGACACAGAAGGUGUGUGACUGGAAGGAGCCGCAAGAGCUGCGGGAGUUGCUGGAUCUGGAGCUCCGGAGCGACGGGGAGGGGCGGGAGCGGCUCCUGCAGCGCUGCCGGGAUGUGCUGCGCCUCAGCGUCCGCACCGGUGCGCUCCCAGUACACACCAGUGCACGCCGGUACACAAUAGGACAGCCCCAGGGCAGGCCCGGUGUCUCCCAGUUCAGCCCUGCACAAACUCCCAGUUUGACAAGGCACCUACCUCCUACUUCAGCCCAGCCGGUCCUGUUUCAGCCCCAGCGGUUCCCAGUGUUGGCCCGCGGUGCCACCCAGUGUCAAACGUUGUGGUGUCUGCCAUAUGCCCCCUGAUCUUCCGUGUCUCCCUUGACCGUUCCUGUGCCCCCCCAUUUCCCCCCACAUCCAC